GACGAACGCUGGCGGCGUGCUUAACACAUGCAAGUCGAACGGUGAAGCGCCUUCCUUUUUGGUGGGUGUGGAUGAGUGGCGAACGGGUGAGUAACACGUGAGUAACCUGCCCCCUUCUUCUGGAUAACCGCAUGAAAGUGUGGCUAAUACGGGAUAUUCUGGGUCUGUCGCAUGAUGGGUCUGGGAAAGAUAUUGUUUCGGUGGGGGAUGGGCCCGCGGCCUAUCAGCUUGUUGGUGGGGUGAUGGCCUACCCAGGCGGUGACGGGUAGCCGGCCUGAGAGGGUGGACGGUCACACUGGGACUGAGACACGGCCAAGACUGCUACGGGAGGCAGCAGUGAGGAAUAUUGCACAAUGGGCGGAAGCCUGAUGCAGCGACGCCGCGUGAGGGAUGGAGGCCUGCGGGUUGUGAGCCUCUUUCGCCAGUGAAGCAGGGCUGCCUCGUGUGUGGGUGGGUUGACGGUAGCUGGAGAAGAAGCGCCGGCUAACUACGUG
rnacentral:rRNA from 1 species